AGGACGAACGCUGGCGGCGUGCUUAACACAUGCAAGUCGAGCGGUAAGGCCUUUCGGGGUACACGAGCGGCGAACGGGUGAGUAACACGUGGGUGACCUGCCCCCUACUCUGGGAUAAGCUUGGGAAACUGGGUCUAAUACCGGAUAUGACCUGAGGUUGCAUGACUUUGGGUGGAAAGCGUUAGUGGUGGGGGAUGGGCCCGCGGCCUAUCAGCUUGUUGGUGGGGUGAUGGCCUACCAAGGCUUCGACGGGUAGCCGGCCUGAGAGGGCGUCCGGCCACACUGGGACUGAGACACGGCCCAGACUCCUACGGGAGGCAGCAGUGGGGAAUAUUGCGCAAUGGGCGGAAGCCUGACGCAGCGACGCCGCGUGGGGGAUGACGGCCUUCGGGUUGUAAACCGUCUUUCGACUUCGACGAAGCCUUUGGGUGACGGUAGGGUGGAAGAAGCACCGGCCAACUACGUGCCAGCAGCCGC
rnacentral:rRNA from 1 species